AGCCUGACGGAGCAACGCCGCGUGAGGGAUGAAGGCCUCUGGGCUGUAAACCUCUUUUAUCAAGGAAGGAGAUCUGACGGUACUUGAUGAAUAGGCCACGGCUAAUUCCGUGCCAGCAGCCGCGGUAAUACGGGAGUGGCAAGCGUUAUCCGGAAUUAUUGGGCGUAAAGCGUCCGCAGGCGGUUUUACGAGUCUGUCGUUAAAACGUGGAGCUCAACUCCUUUUCGGCGAUGGAAACUGUAAGACUAGAGUGUGGUAGGGGCAGAGGGAAUUCCCGGUGUAGCGGUGAGAUGCGUAGAUAUCGGGAAGAACACCAGUGGCGAAGGCGCUCUGCUGGGCCAUAACUGACGCUCAUGGACGAAAGCCAGGGGAGCGAAAGGGAUUAGAUACCCCUGUAGUCCUGGCCGUAAACGAUGAACACUAGGUGUCGGGGGAAUCGACCCCCUCGGUGUCGUAGCCAACGCGUUAAGUGUUCCGCCUGGGGAGUACGCACGCAAGUGUGAAACUCAAAGGAAUUGACGGGGGCCCGCACAAGCGGUGGAGUAUGUGGUUUAAUUCGAUGCAACGCGAAGAACCUUACCAGGGUUUGACAUCCUGCGAAUCCCUUGGAAACUUGGGAGUGCCUUCGGGAGCGCAGUGACAGGUGGUGCAUGGCUGUCGUCAGCUCGUGUCGUGAGAUGUUGGGUUAAGUCCCGCAACGAGCGCAACCCACGUCUUUAGUUGCCAGCAUUAAGUUGGGCACUCUAGAGAGACCGCCGGUGAUAAACCGGAGGAAGGUGUGGAUGACGUCAAGUCAUCAUGCCCCUUACAUCCUGGGCUACACACGUACUACAAUGCUACGGACAAAGGGCAGCAAACUCGCGAGAGCUAGCAAAUCCCAUAAACCGUGGCUCAGUUCAGAUCGUAGGCUGCAACUCGCCUACGUGAAGGAGGAAUCGCUAGUAAUCGCAGGUCAGCAUACUGCGGUGAAUACGUUCCCGGGCCUUGUACACACCGCCCGUCACACCAUGGAAGUUGGCCACGCCCGAAGUCGUUACUCCAACCCGCAAGGGAGGAGGAUGCCGAAGGUGGGGCUGAUGACUGGGGUGAAGUCGUAACAAGGUAGCCGUACCGGAAGGUGCGGCUGGAUCACCUCCUAACAGGGAUACAAUAACUAAUUGUGAUGUCUGAGUAAUUUAUUCUCAGGCCAUGAUUCUGUCAUCUCUAAGGUCGAUCGGUACCUCAAUUUGAGAGUUCAAGAAGAGCUGAGCAAUCAGUUUAGAGAUGAACAUCUUAAUUUCAGUUCCUAAACUUUGUCUAGGUCACCCCACAGCGGGUAAAGCCGAGAGCACAAAUUUUAUUAUUUGUGUUUGAUCUGGCAAGCCGAAAGGCGAGCUAG
rnacentral:sRNA from 1 species